rnacentral:rRNA from 1 species
UGGGGAAUAUUGGACAAUGGGCGCAAGCCUGAUCCAGCCAUGCCGCGUGAGUGAUGAAGGCCCUAGGGUUGUAAAGCUCUUUCACCGGUGAAGAUAAUGACGGUAACCGGAGAAGAAGCCCCGGCUAACUUCGUGCCAGCAGCCGCGGUAAUACGAAGGGGGCUAGCGUUGUUCGGAUUUACUGGGCGUAAAGCGCACGUAGGCGGACUAUUAAGUCAGGGGUGAAAUCCCGGGGCUCAACCCCGGAACUGCCUUUGAUACUGGUAGUCUUGAGGUCGAGAGAGGUGAGUGGAAUUCCGAGUGUAGAGGUGAAAAUCGUAGAUAUUCGGAGGAACACCAGUGGGGAAGGCGGCUCACUGGCUCGAUACUGACGCUGAGGUGCGAAAGCGUGGGGAGCAAACAGG